rnacentral:snoRNA from 1 species
GCAUGGCAGAAUACUGUGUUCUUUGAUCAGUAGUUUACACAGCCAGACACCAUGCAAAAGUAAAGUCUACACUUUAAAAUGACUGUGAUGGUAUGCUGUGUUUUCCAUAGUGUAUCAUUCAUUAUUAAAAGUGAAUACAAAU